GUUACCUACGGGGCGCAGCAGUAGGGAAUUUUCGUCAAUGGGCGCAAGCCUGAACGAGCAAUGCCGCGUGAACGAGGAAGGUCUUCGGAUCGUAAAGUUCUGUUGAAGGGGAAAAAGAGCGGAGAGAGGAAAUGAACUCCGAUUGAUAUUACCCUUCGAGGAAGUCACGGCUAACUACGUGCCAGCAGCCGCGGUAAUACGUAGGUGGCGAGCGUUAUCCGGAAUGAUUGGGCGUAAAGUGUGCGUAGGCGGCCUGCUAAGUCUGGAGUGAAAGGUACCGGCUCAACCGGUACAGGCUCUGGUAG
rnacentral:rRNA from 1 species